AGAUUUUGACAGUUCGGUCGAAGAAAACUUUUGAAACUUUAAACAACAAAAUACUCAUGUCCCAUGUGUGUAUGGUUAUGUAUUUAUCGUCUAUACUUGAUUUUUGAUUUUGGAUUACUUAUUUUGACGUAUGAAUGUCCCAUUAAAGCUAUGGAAGUGCAAAUUUGCUGCUAGAAUAAAAUUUACUUGUGUUUAAAAUAUUAAAAUUAAGGUGAUAAAGUCAGAAUGUCUGACAAUGAAGAGAGAUCUAAUUCUCCCCCACUACCGAGAGGGGCAUACAAUAUUAAUUUUGAUGAUAUUGACUUAGAUGCAAUAGACCCAUUUAAACCUAGAGGUGGCAUAGGAGUGGCAGCAAAUAAGAACCCAUUCGUGGGGAGAUCAAAACUGUCAGCCUCCCCUCCACUGCCCCGACAUGUGGAAUGUGCAAAUGAUAUUAAUAGUGUACGUGAUAAUGUGGAAACUGAAGUGAACGGAAUACCUGAUGAGCCUGACGAUCUACCUCCUCCACCACCUGAUGAAAGAAAUGAAGAUGAAAUGGAACAAGCAGAAAGCAGGGAAAAUGAAUCCGCAGUUUCAGAACCUUUACAUUUUGAGGCUGAAGAAAACCCCUUUAAGCAAAAAUCUAAGAUAGCAAGGUCUCCCAGGGAAGAAAUGGAACCAGCAGAAAGUGUUGAAAAUGAAACAGCAGUUUCAGAACCUAUAAAUAUUGAGGCUGAAGAAAAUCCAUUUAAGCGAAAAUCUAAGAUAGCAAGGUCUCCUAGAGGUGUAAAGGAUGAAAAUCUGUCUAAAUCAGGAAAUGAACUUGCACAUUCUCCUUCAAACCGUGAUAGUUUACCAGAGGAUAUUAAAAAUCCCUUCCAGAGUGGGGAAAAACUUGGACGCAGCCCACCUAGCGAUUACAGUGCCUUGAACAGGGACAUCAACAAUGAUGAUGAAAGUAGUGUAAAUAAAAGUGAGACAGUGUCUGCAAAUCCUGUUGAAUCUCAAAGUCAAACCAAGGCGAAAAAGGGAUUAAAAACAAAAGCCAAGUCUAAAACACCAACAAAACCAGCUGAGAGUCCUACAGAAGAGAUUGAAAAUGUCAAGACAGAAUCUGAAGAUAGCGUGGAAACUGUGCAAACAUUGAAAGCAGCAACUAGUCCGAAAAAGUCUGGAAUAAAGAAGCCAAAAGCAAAGUCAAAGUUCAAACCACCUGCAAAUUUUGGUGCUCAGAAUACAGAUGAAGAUGUAGUGAUCUUUGCACCACCUCCACCAUCAGGUGGCAGCAAAAAUGAUCUGCCAAUGACAAACGAAAAAGAAUUUGAAUCAGCCAAUCCGAUGACAGUUUCUGAGAUUGUGGGUGGAGCUGGUGGAAUGAUUGACAGUGUUCAUGAUUUUGGUGCUGCAGAUAUGCCUGUUGAAAGCAACGAAGACUUUGUGGCACAAUCAGAAGCAUUUGAAGAGGGGGAGUCCUGGGGUCUGUUGCCAGAUACCAACAUGACCUGUGUCUCACAAAUGGUUGGAGAUGUUGAGCAAGACCUAAGGAACAGCUUUGAAGUUCCAGACAAGGUGACAAGUAGGAGGGCAUCGGAGGCUCUGUUACCUAGCAACAGCGAGUUUGAUGAUGACGAGAUGAGUUCCCCACCGCCAAAGCAGUCCAGCGCGCGCAACGUCUCGCGUCACCCGGCAGCCCGCGCACUACAGGAACAGGUGGGUGGGGAGGUGACACACCGGGAGGCACACAUCGCUGACAGGGCGCUUUAUGGGAAAGGGUACACGGGAAAGCCGUACACUGAAGGCGACGAACGCUACUUUGACGCGCCGGAAUAUCCGCUAGGAGCGCGUCAUCAGGGGCAGUCAAGGAGUAAAGGAAAAGGCGAUGAGGUUGAUAGAAUGAAGCACAACAAUAUGAAGAAUGGUUCGGACCAUGAUCUAGACAGCGUCGUGCAGUUUGUUCCGGAUACAGACAGUACUGAAUCCGGUGACGAUAAGGUUCUGAAGUACUCUCAGUCGGACUGGAACAAGAUGAAGCAGGAGUUAGAGCUGGAGUACAACACUAAAGUACUCAACAAGGAGCGCGAGUGGGGCAAGAAGCUGGCAGACCGUGACAAGAAGAUUGCAUACCUGGAUGAACAGGUGCUCCUGUUGAGGUCGGCUAACGAGGACAUGAAGUUAGUGGUGACAGAGUUUGAGAAGACAAUUGCUCAGCUUCAAGCUGACAAACUGAAGUCAAGCUCUGAAUCACAAAACACAUUUGGAGAUGUUAUAAAAGAACGUGAUCAGGCUUUGGAAGAUCUUCAGUCAGUGGAGACAGCAUUUUCUGACCUCCAUCAGAGAUAUGAACGUACCAAGGGAGUAGUGGAAGGUUUUAAGAAGAAUGAGGAGAUACUCAAGAAGUGUGUGCAGGACUACCAGGACAGACUGAAGGCGGCAGAUGAGAAGAUGGCCUCUGUCAUUCAGCAGGCAGAGGAUAAGCUGGCACGGGCUAGUGAUGAGAUGGAGAAAUUGCGUAAAUCUACGAGUACAGAAGUGGCUCGACUGGAGGCAGCCACUAAGAAAGCAGAUCUGAAAAUACAAGGCCUUCAGAGGAGCUUGGAACAAAAGAUUCAAGAAAAUAGUGAGCUCACCGCCAUAUGUGAUGAACUUAUAGCCAAGGUUGGUGAUUAAGAUGAGUGAUAGAGCAGUUCAAUAGACAGCUUGUGUGGCUGGGAAAACUGACAACGUGAAAACUAUGACAACAAAGUAACUGUGAGAAAGUUGUGUUAUUGGCCAUCGUGUGAAGUUUUUUUACUUUAGGGUUUGUUUUCUUGGCUUUAGACUCAGUGUUGUGCAGUUUAAAAAAUUCAAGAUUGAGCAACAAAUGUUUGGCUGUUUACUCUCCUGAAGCCAAUGUCUUUAAAUAUAUCUCAAUUUCCGUAGUUGUUAAUGGUGAAAAUAGUAGCCAAUGAAAAAGAAUUGCUGGGUUGGAGAUUAAUUUUCAUUGGCUAGAUUUUAAAGUGAAAUCGUUGUAGAUUUUUUUGUAUUCAUUGGUCUGUCAAAUUAAGUGUUAUUGACCUCAAAUCAUGAAUUCAUUUUUCAAUUGCUUGUGUACUUAUUUAAAAAAAAAAUCAUAUCAGUUGAACUUAUUUUUACUCUGAAUAUUGUUUCGUUUAUCAUGUAUGUUGGUACUAGUAGGAAUAUACAAUUUACAUUUAUUAUAAAAAUUGUUUAUUACAAGUUAAGGAAAAACAAAAGUAUUAAAAGAUUCUGUCUAAAAUUGAUGGUGAACUUGAUAAACCCUGCAUGUAAUUAAUAAAAUAUUAAAACAUGUUCUUUUAAUUUUUACUUUAAAUAUUGAUAAAAUGUAUUCAUAUUGAUUGAUUUACCGGUAUUUUAUAUUCACAAAAAAAUUGGUCAUACAAAUAUUAAACCAUGUUCUGUGAUGUAGUCUGUAGGUAAAACCAUUAGUCAAGCUAGGAUUAUUUUAUCAGAAUAAAAUAUCCACAGUUGUAAAAUAGACAUUUGCUUCAGCAAUAUUUUCACUGUUUGAUAAUUGUUUAGGGGCUUUCAGCAUAGCUUUUCCUUAUUUAUUGAUGAUUUUCAAGAAUAUGUAACCAUAUUUUUAGCUCAUUUUGAACAAACCAUUUUAUGGAAAAAAAGCUUUAUUGAUUAACGUAAACCUUUCAGUUAUUAUGUUAUGAAGCGUUUUUUAACACUGAAGAGCCUAAAAUUCAGUAAACUGCUUACAGUCUUGUGUGUUAUCAGUCGUUCUUGCAAGUAUAACUACAACAUGCUAUAAAUUGUGUUCAAUUUAAUUAUCAGCUCAUUCUUUUGGUGCGUUAGUUGAUCAUAUCAAUAUUUAUUUAAAUUAUGU